UGAGGAAAUCGAUUAUGGAUCAGGUGGAUUUAGUCCAUAUUUUAGAGGAGCCUCUGUCAUAAUUUUGUUAAAAAUAUUUUUUAAUCAAAUAAGUCAAAGUUGCUUUGGCGGUGGGUCUGACGUUUAGUUGGUGUCUACAUCGAUGCACGACAUGUGUCGAGUCCAUUAAGAUGAUUUGGGACGGAUCGUAUCAAUGAAUGUAUUUUUUAUUAGCUUGCCCACCUUGUGAAUGUAAAGUUUCAAUAAUUGUAAUUUCAGUUUCUUAGUAAUUUUUUCUGCAACUGACUUUUUUUUUAUUUUAUUUUUUUAGCUAUUUCCUGUUUUAGGCCAGAUGGGACCAAGAAGGCAUAUGUUCGUUUAACGCCUGAUUAUGAUGCUCGGGGUGUAGCUAACAAAAUUGGGAUAAUCUAAGUAAUUGUCUCUUCACUUUUGAGGUUAUAGUUGAAGGAUUGAACUUUAGAUGUUCUGGCUUUUGUGGAACCAAAUUAAUUUUUGUUUAUUUGUUUUGAUGUUCAGAGAUGGUUUAUUGCUUAGUAAUAUUAUACCUAGAUAUCCCACAAUAACAUUGGAAUUAAGACCAUUUUUUCUUCCAGGACGCAGGAACUAAUUACAGUACCAAAAGUGUAUUCCAGGUUUAUAGAGAUGGAAAUUUGGGAACUUGAGUUAAUAAUGGAGUUUUAAUUAUCUCGAUGGUUUGGUGAUGGGAUAGUUUUAGGAAGUUUAUAGUCAAGCUCCUUUAGAUAGCACUUCUUCAAAUGUGCAGCAAAGUACAUUUAGUGGAAACAGAAGCUUAGAUACCCAGCGUGCACACACAUUACGCUAAAUUCUUUUUUUAGAUUGUCCCAAAUCAUAAAGAUUUGACAAAAUUAGAACAUAAAUAUAUAUAUAUCCAAAAUUAUUGGGCUGCAUUGCUUCUGGAUAAUCCAAAACCAGAGUGGUCAAAAAAAAUUACGAGAUAAAAGAUGACUGCAUAAUUGCUAUAUAAAAUAUUUCUUAAUUUUGAAAUGGACCGUAUCUCUUGUUAA
rnacentral:lncRNA from 1 species